rnacentral:lncRNA from 1 species
CUUAGGCUGGCUGGUAUAGGCAAAAGGAAUGGGCAAGCUUCCAAGCACUCACAUUUGAAGCAGAGGAGGCAACCUGCAGUCUAGUAAGGAUUAGGAACGACUGCCCUGAGUUGAACAUUAGCCAAAGAGGCCAUUUAUGAGAAAAGUGUACUUUGCACUUGCAGAGAGUGGGAGAUCUUUAAAAAGAAAAAAGGCAAUACAGUGUUAGGCCAUCUAGGCUGUAACGGCUCUACUGUUGCCUCCUUUCUUGGGUGCAGUCUUGAUCCUAAAACACUCCCGUCGCUCUCUCGGAAACAAUGAAAGCCAGCGCUAGAACAGAGGUUAAAACUGACAUGGGGAUUGCCAAUGCCUUGCUUUCAAAACUGGGACGUUAAAAAGUACUUCACAUUAGGACAGCGUUUAUUUUGUUCUUCAGUGGAAAAAGUGAAACAUUCCUUAAUCAGCGAGGAAGCAUGCUUUCUGCAUACCCCUGCACAAAAUUUGGUAUGAGUUCAACAAAUGACAAUUCAGCUGCUGAAGCAUAACCAACUUGGACUGCUUUAGAGGUCUGUAUUUCACUUAUUCCGCUAUCUGUUUUAUUAUCCACUCUGCUAAGCUAAAUAUAGAAAGAAAGUAGGGAGAAGAAGUCAACAGUUCUGUAAGCCUAGAAAUGAUAGUCAAGAACAGCUAUGAUGAAGUUAAAAUUGUAUAUACUUAAACCAAAACAAAGCAUAUGUGUUGUAUUUCUGUAGAGCUUUCCAUCUGAGGAUCUCAAUCGUUUAUCCCAAUGAGCUUAAUGAAGGUAUGAGUUCACUGUAUACUGCAUACUGGGUAAUAUGCCAGAAGAAUAGCGCGUUUAAAAAGCUGGCAUUAUCUUAAGAGGUCUGUUUACAAAGAUACUUCAGGUUUAGUUUUUAGCCAUGAGUAUGUAAUGCGUAACUUUUUGAUGUUUCUCCUGAACUCUUCUCUUUUUCUUUCUCCAAGUUUGAUCACCUCUUUCUCUAUAGCCUCUCUGUUGAGGAGUUCGUCUGGCUUUUUUACUUGAAUCACUUACCUCUGUCCUUGCUGAGGUGAACUACAGACAAUUCUGUGCAGGAUCCUGACUUUUGUUGCCAGGCCAUUGAAGUCUUGCUGUUAUGUUGACCAGGCCAUUAUGUUGACCAGGGAAACUUGCUUCCGUUCUUGCUCCCAAGGAUAUAGGUGAGUGAUGUCUGAAGAGCAAUGAAGAACAAGUUCUGUUCUUCCAGGACUAGACUGGCAGUAGCAGGGACCAGUACAAUUUAAAUAGUUCUCUACUGAAAUACAGCUUCAGAAAUGUAGGGAAUUA